rnacentral:lncRNA from 1 species
CUCAGACUCCACGCCCGUGGGAGUAGUGAGAGGCAUAGGAUGGGACAGAAGGAGAUGCUAAACAGUGAUGCAGAAGCAGCGAAGACCUCCGCAAUCCUGCAGGGAAGCUUGGGAGCUGGUACGGCCCUGCAGAGAUGCACUGAGGGAAGCCAAGCUGCCAUGUUGUAAGCUGCCCUAUGAAGGGACCCACAUGGCAAAGAAUGGAGAAUGACCCCAGCCAGCCAAGAACUCUCAGCCUACCGGCCCAUGAGGAACUGAAUCCUGCCAACAGCGAUGUGAGUGAACUUGGAAGUGGAUCCUUCUCCAGUGGCACCAUCAGCAAGAAGGCCCUCACCAGAUGCAGGCCUCUCAACCUUGGA